rnacentral:rRNA from 1 species
UACGGGGGGGGCAAGCGUUGUUCGGAAUUACUGGGCGUAAAGGGCUCGUAGGCGGCCAACUAAGUCGGAUGUGAAAUCCCCAGGCUUAACCUGGGAACUGCAUCCGAUACUGGAUGGCUUGAAUUCGGGAGAGGGAUGCAGAAUUCCAGGUGUAGCGGUGAAAUGCGUAGAUAUCUGGAGGAACACCGGUGGCGAAGGCGGGUCUCUGGGCAACAACUGACGCUGAGGAGCGAAAGCGUGGGGAGCGAACAGG